AGACGCUUGUUAGUUAUGAACUUAGGUGUCUGGUCUGUUUCUUUGCCUUUCAAAGGCACUUCCUGGCAGAGAGGUACAAUGGUGCUUUGCAGGAAACCCUGUGCCCACAGCAUCUGUUCUGCAGCUUGGCAGACCGCAGCUGGCCCUGAGCAUGGCCUACUAAUUCUCUGGGUCAGGUGUGGCUGUGGUGAGAUGGAUCUCAGCCAGACAUCCUCCUGACAGCUGAAAACAAGACCAGCAGAAGCAACCAACCCUCACUGCUCACAGCUUGGGCCCAGUGCUCAGCCCCAGGACCAGCUGACACUGAUAGUAGCUGUUUUAAACCACAGGAAUAAAAUGGAGGAAAAAUCAUCUUCCAAAGACGAGAAAUGCUGCUCACAAAAGAAAGGUGCUGUGUAGAUUCCCAGUAAACAAUAUUAUCUAUAAAUGACUCUGGGAAUCACUAAUAAGUGAUGAUGAAGCUGAUUAUGCAUUAUAUAAAUGUUUAGAUUUGAAAAAAAUUGAUUUAUAGCAUAUAAAAUCCCAUUAUUUUAUAUUACUGAAAUAGGAAUAUGAAGGAAUGGAAACAUUUUAUUUUAAAAACAUAAAGUUACACUAAGACAUUAGCUCCUUUGACUCACAUAUUUCAAAAACAAUGACGGUUUUCAGUGGAAAAUAAUGCUAAGAAGUUCUGAAAAUAACAGUAAUAAGGAAGAAUUUGAGUAAUGAAACAUUUAUUCACUCAUUUUCCUUCAAGUAUGUACAAUAUAGCUAUAAAAUAAUUAGACUAAAAAAUGGCAGGCACAGCAGAACCUUAAACCAACAAAUUUAAAGUAUAGACAUUUUGUUGGUAUAAUAAGAGCAUUAAUAUGUAUUGAAUGUUUACCAAGUGCAGGUAACUAUUAUAAAACCUUUAUUGGCAUGAUCUGAAUUAGUUCUCAAAACAAAUAGUUGGCAAACUAAGGCCUGUGGGCCAAACUCGGCCCACCUUCUAUUUUUGUACAGAGUUUUAUUGGAACACAGCAACACUCAUUCAAUUAUGCAUUGUCUAUGGCUACUUUUAUGCUACAGAAUUGAGCUGUAGUGGCAGAGACUGUAUGGACUACAGAGCCUGAAGAAUUUGCCAUCUGGCCCUUUACAGAAGAAGUUAGUUGAUCCCUGCAAAACAAUCCAAUGGA
rnacentral:lncRNA from 1 species